rnacentral:rRNA from 1 species
GUGGUCGGGACGAUUAUUAGGCCUAAAGCAUCCGUAGCCGGUCUUGCAAGUCUUCCGUUAAAUCCACCUGCUUAACAGAUGGGCUGCGGAGGAUACUACAAGGCUAGGAGGCGGGAGAGGCAAGCGGUACUCAGUGGGUAAGGGUAAAAUCCUCUGAUCCAUUGAAGACCACCAGUGGCGAAAGCGGCUUGCCAGAACGCGCUCGACGGUGAGGGAUGACAGCUGGGGGAGCAAANCGGAUUAGAUACCCGGGUAGUCCCAGCUGUAAACGAUUCAGACUCGGUGAUGGGCCGGCUUUAUGCCAGCUCAGUUCCUCAGGGAAUCCGUUAAGUCUAGACCGCCUGGGGAGUACGCUCGCAAGACUGAAACUUAAAGGAAUUGCCUGGUGGGCACCACAAGGGGUGAAGCCUGCGGUUCAAUUGGAGUCAACGCCGGAAAUCUUACCGGGGUCGACAGCAGAGUGAAGGUCAAGCUGAAGACUUUACCAGUCAAGCUGAGAGGAGGUGCAUGGCCGUCGCCAGCUCGUGCCGUGAGGUGUCCUGUUAAGUCAGGCAACGAGCGAGAUCCCUGCUUCUAGUUGCUACCACUACUCUCAGGAGGAGUGGGGCUAAUUAAAAGGACUGCCGCCGCUAAGUCGGAGGAAGGAGGGGGCUACGGCAGGUCAGUAUGCCCCGAAACCCUCGGCCACACGCGGGCUGCAAUGGUAAGGACAAUG